AUCUGCCCAAUGAUUUUAUUUAAUGGCUGCAGUAUUUAUAACUGUACAAAGGUAGCAUAAUAAUUAGUUUUUUAAUUGAAAACUAGAAUGAAAGAUUUAAUGAAAUAUAUACUAUAUAAAUAAAAUUAAAAAUUGAAAUUAAAAUUUAAGUAAAAAUUCUUAAAUUAAUUUAAAAGACGAGAAGACCCUAUAGAAUUUUAUUUUUAAUAAUUUUAAAAUUUAAUAUUAAAUUUAAAUAAGUAAUUAAAAAUUUAAUUGGGGUAAUUUUAAAAUUAAAUUAAUUUUUAUUAAAAAAACAUAAAUUAAUGAUUUAUUAAU
rnacentral:rRNA from 1 species